AGCUUUUUAACAAAUUGGCUGCUACGAAGACUGGUUGCUUCAAAUUUUGUUUUGGUGCUUUUGGAGAUUUGAUUGUACAAGAAAAUGAUCUACCUUGCAAUAUCAUUUUUCUUGCAAAUGAAGAAAUUCAGAGCAUCUAAGUUUUAAAUGUAUCUGCUAAAGUGUUGAUAUUAAUCCUUUAUGUUGUCCGGAAGUCAACGAACAACCAGACCAGGAAGGCGUGGAGCUUGAGCUUGAGCUGCAGCGACAAUGACAACUUGGGCGUCAACUUCAAAAAGCAACAGU